UUUUGUCAAUUGAUCGAUCAGGUUAAGCUGUCUCGUCCCAAUGCAAGACUCCGGUUACUUGAUGUUUCCAAUCACAAGAUGUCUGUGGUAUGUAUUUCACUAUUCGACUUCUAAUUGCUUUUAGUGGAUUAACAAUGAUCCAUUUGGCCCAACAUAGUACUACCAAAAAUUAAAAUUUGUUUAACUGGGAGUGUUGAACAAAGAUUCCCAAGUUAAGUAGCUGAUGCAGAUUAAUCACAGAAGUGGUCUUAUUUUAGUGAAAAUAAGCUUUGGGUUGGGUUCUAUAUGUGUUUGGUGGGCCUUUGAUCCAAGGGGUUUUAAUUGUAUUUGACCAUUCUAAUGGGCCUAUAAUAUGAGCUGUGAGGUAGAAAUACAGGAUUAGUUGGGGUCUUGGUAGUUGUUUUCUAUUUCACUUCUUAUUUAUUAUUUGAUCUUAUUGUUUAACUGGAAUAGGUCUGAUGUUAGCA